GAUGAUGAUUUGAUAUAUUUGCAUGUUAAGAUUUAGGAGUUAGUGUGUUAUAACGUUAUUAUAGAAGUAGCUGAAGUGCUGAACUGAACGGGAUCUGAACAGGCCAGACCUCCGAUUGGAUCAGCUAUCCAAUUUUGAUGGGCCAUUCGGACGGCCCAGUCAUCGGUCCGUUGGCCACGCGAUUUCUCAGGCGCACCUCCGCCGCAACGCGAGUCCCCCCACCGCCGCCGGCCGCGGCGCGCCGCCGUUCUGACGCUCCACGGCCACAUGAACUGCCGCCACCUCGCCCUCCGGCUCCGCCACCUCCGCCGCCUUCUCGCGGUCGCACCCCUUUCCUCGCUCGCGGCCGCGCACUCCGCUAACCGCUCCUCCCCACGGCUAAACCCCACUUCGGUGCCGCCACCGCCGCGGCAGCUGCAUCUCCCGACCCUCCAGGCUCGACGGCUCUGCUCCACCACGCACGUCGUCCUCCCCACAAACCUCCAGGACGAGCGGUUCGCGGCUCUCUCGGAUAGGAUCUACGACGCCGUGAUUGAGACCGCGGCGGGUUCCAGCGAGGGCACGGAGGCGGCCCUUGACGCGCUGGGCGCCGAGCUGACCACCCCGCUCGUCGCCGACGUGCUGCAUCGCCUCCGUUACGACGAGAAGCUGGCCUUCCGGUUCUUCGUCUGGGCGUCUCACCAGGACGGCUACGAGCACGAGGCCGCGACGUACAACGACGUCAUCGACAUCCUCUCCGGCACGCGGUACAAGGCCCGCCAGUUCGGCGUCCUCUGCGACGUGCUCGACCACAUGAAGCGCCGCCGCACAAGGUCCGUGCCGGUCGACGACUUGCUGGGUAUCCUGCGCGCAUACACGGAGAAGCACCUCACGCAUCUCAGGAAGCUGGCUAAGAAGCGGCGGGUGCGGAUGCGCACGCCGCCGGAGACCGACGCUCUGAACGUGCUGCUGGACGCCUUCUGCAAGUGCGGGAUGGUCCGGGAGGCGGAGGUGGUGUUCAGCCGCGUGAAGAGGAAGCUGCUGGGGAAUGCCGAGACAUACAGUAUCCUGUUCUUCGGGUGGUGCCGGGCAAGGGACCCCAAGAGGGCCAUGAAGGUGCUCGAGGAAAUGAUUCAGAUGAAGCACACCCCUGAGAACUUCACUUACAAUGCUGCCAUUGACUCAUUUUGCAGUGCUGGUUUGGUCUCAGAGGCAAGGGAUUUGUUUGAGUUCAUGAGAACAGAGGGGUCUACAAUUUCAUCGCCCACGGCUAAGACAUACUCGAUUAUGAUUGCGGCGCUAGCAAAGGCUGGUCAGAUGGAGGAGUGCUUUGAACUGAUUUCAGAAAUGAGAAAGUGCGGCUGUAUGCCUGAUGUGUCGACAUAUAAAGACUUGAUUGAAGGCAUGUUGUUGGUGGAUAAACUGGAUGCUGCUUAUUGUGUUUUAGAUGAGAUGGCAAAGGCUGGCUUUCCCCCUGACAUUGUCACUUACAAUUGCUUUCUGAAGGUGCUUUGUGGUCUUCAAAAGGCUGAUGACGCGCUUGAACUCUGUGAAAGGAUGAUAGAGGCGCAUUGUGAGCCUAGUGUUCAUACAUAUAAUAUGCUGAUGGUGAUGUUCUUUGAGAUGAGAGAGCCAGAUAGGGCAAUCAAUAUUUGGAUCGAGAUGGACAAGAGAGGAUGCCAUCGCGCUGUUGAUACCUACGAAACAAUGAUUGAUGGGCUGUUUGAUUCUGGAAGAACGGAAGAUGCGACCGCUCUUCUAGAUGAGGUAAUAAACCGUGGCAUGAAACUUUCGUACAAGAAGUUUGAUGCUAUCAUGUUGCGGCUAUCAGCUGUAGGCAACCUUGGCGCGAUACAUCGGUUGUCAGAGCAUAUGAGGAGAUUUUACAAUGUUGCAAUGUCUAGGCGUUUUGCAAUCACACAGAAGAAGAAGAGCAUAGGUCUGAGAAGGAAAUGAAUAUUUCGAGAUUUCUUGUUAGUGCAGAUGAUCAGGAGUUUAUAUGAGGCUGUAAGCAGGAGUGUAAUGGGAACUUGAAUCCGAGCCAGGAUAUAAGUAAAAAGUUGACCAGGAGAAUUCUAAAGCAUUUACUUUUACAAGCUGGUUGAUGGAUGUCCACACACAGAUCAGUGGAAAAACUUCCUGAACUGCAUGUUUUGCCUAAAGAAAACUAGUGCUGUGAGCCUGUGAGCGCUUUAAUAUCACAAGAAUAUAUGCGACCGAGCACUUCGGAUACCAUACACCGUGCGGUACAGACGAAACCACGAAACCCUCUGAAGUUGAGGCCUCGUGAGCAAAUAGGCGACUGCGUCCGGGUGCCGACGAGUUUUCAUGAGUUCCGAGGAUUCGCGGCGGUAAUGAAGCAGGAUCGUGCAGCAUUACCGUUUCUAUAUUGCACCAUCAACAACAAGAACCAAGAGAUGUUCCACUCAGAAAGACCUCAAGAACAAACACAACGAGUUGCACGCCGCACAGAUCAACCGGAAGAUUAAUGAGGAGGACAACAAACCACCGACUGGGAUGACUACGCUACCACGCAAGUUUGACUGCCCUUGUUGGUGUGGAGCCGUUGUGCGCGCGAGCCCUUUCGACGACGACGACGACGACGCCGAAACUUUGCACUCACCGCCUCGCCGAACGGGGGAAACUUUGGUUGGCAGGUGGACACGUCGGGGGGUGGGGGGAGGCAGAGGAAAGCGAGCGCACGAGAAGUCCAGUUGGGUCGCGUCGCGCCGCGCUUGGCUUUGCUCGGCUUGUUGCGUAGCGAAGCGUUCGUGGCGCGGGGCCCGGCUGUCGGUCGGUGCCUCGGCGGCGCGGUUGUACAGUGAGGCGUUGCAUGUGGGGGUGAGGCAGCAGGAGCGGCCAUGCUUUGUGAAUCUCUGCAAUAGUGUGGGCGGUUAAGCAAUGAAAGCAAUUGACUGCUCGGGUGUGUGACACGUCCCUGUUGAAAAGCCGGACCAGCCUUCAAACUUUGCAAGCAGUAGGCUCUACUCUAAUUAGCCUAUGUGGGUACUUAGUACUGUAUUUCUUGUGUUGGGAGCAAGGAAUAAUUCGGUAAAAUGAGACUGAGAUAAAACAAUUA